AUCCUGGCUCAGAAUGAACGCUGGCGGCAGGCCUAACACAUGCAAGUCGAACGAGAUCUUCGGAUCUAGUGGCGGACGGGUGAGUAACGCGUGGGAAUAUGCCCUUUGGUACGGAAUAGCCUCGGGAAACUGAGAGUAAUACCGUAUGUGUCCUCUGAUCGUGGUGGUUGGAGGAGAAAGAUUUAUCGCCAAAGGAUUAGCCCGCGUUGGAUUAGAUAGUUGGUGGGGUAAUGGCCUACCAAGUCUACGAUCCAUAGCUGGUUUGAGAGGAUGAUCAGCCACACUGGGACUGAGACACGGCCCAGACUCCUACGGGAGGCAGCAGUGGGGAAUCUUAGACAAUGGGGGCAACCCUGAUCUAGCCAUGCCGCGUGAUCGAUGAAGGCCUUAGGGUUGUAAAGAUCUUUCAGUUGGGAAGAUAAUGACGGUACCAACAGAAGAAGCCCCGGCUAA
rnacentral:rRNA from 2 species